CUUCAGCGAGCCGACCCAGAGCGGGUCCUGCCGGCCCUGGCCGUAGGUGGCCAGCAGGGCCUGGGCCUC
rnacentral:antisense_RNA from 1 species